rnacentral:rRNA from 1 species
UUGGAGGGCAAGUCUGGUGCCAGCAGCCGCGGUAAUUCCAGCUCCAAUAGCGUAUAUUAAAGUUGUUGCAGUUAAAAAGCUCGUAGUUGAAUUUCGGGAUCAGUACGUUGGUCGUGCCUUAGGUACGUACUGGUGUUACUGGUUUCUACCUUCUGACGAACCAUCAUGUCAUUCAUUUGGUGUGGCGGGGAAUCAGGACUGUUACUUUGAAAAAAUUAGAGUGUUUAAAGCAGGCUCGCGCUUGAAUACAUUAGCAUGGAAUAAUGAAAUAGGACGUUGAUCCUAUUUUGUUGGCUUCUAGGAUUGACGUAAUGAUUAAUAGGGAUAGUUGGGGGCAUUAGUAUUCAAUUGUCAGAGGUGAAAUUCUUGGAUUUAUUGAAGACUAACUACUGCGAAAGCAUUUGCCAAGGAUGUUUUCAUUAAUCAAGAACGAAAGUUAGGGGAUCGAAGACGAUCAGAUACCGUCGUAGUCUUAACCAUAAACUAUGCCGACUAGGGAUCGGAUGAUGUUAUUUUUAAUGACUCAUUCGGCGCCUUACGGGAAAC